rnacentral:sRNA from 1 species
AUUCUAAGUCUGGCAGAUCGAGCAGCCCAGGGAAGCCGAUUCCCCUCCCUCAUCCUGCCAGAGGCUGCAACAUGUUUCUGAGAUGGGAACAGCGAGAGCUGCCCAACGGACGUGUCUAUUAUGUUGACCACAAUACCAAGACCACCACCUGGGAGCGGCCCCUUCCUCCAGGCUGGGAAAAACGCACAGAUCCCCGAGGCAGGUUUUACUAUGUGGAUCACAAUACUCGGACCACCACCUGGCAGCGUCCGACCGCGGAGUACGUGCGCAACUAUGAGCAGUGGCAGUCGCAGCGGAAUCAGCUCCAGGGGGCCAUGCAGCACUUCAGCCAAAGAUUCCUCUACCAGUCUUCGAGUGCUUCGACUGACCAUGAUCCCCUGGGCCCCCUCCCUCCUGGCUGGGAGAAGAGACAGGACAAUGGACGGGUGUAUUACGUGAACCAUAACACUCGCACGACCCAGUGGGAGGAUCCCCGGACCCAGGGGAUGAUCCAGGAACCAGCUCUGCCCCCAGGAUGGGAGAUGAAAUACACCAGCGAGGGGGUGCGAUACUUUGUGGACCACAAUACCCGCACCACCACCUUUAAGGAUCCUCGCCCGGGGUUUGAGUCGGGGACGAAGCAAGGUUCCCCUGGUGCUUAUGACCGCAGUUUUCGGUGGAAGUAUCACCAGUUCCGUUUCCUCUGCCAUUCAAAUGCCCUACCUAGCCACGUGAAGAUCAGCGUUUCCAGGCAGACGCUUUUCGAAGAUUCCUUCCAACAGAUCAUGAACAUGAAACCCUAUGACCUGCGCCGCCGGCUCUACAUCAUCAUGCGUGGCGAGGAGGGCCUGGACUAUGGGGGCAUCGCCAGAGAGUGGUUUUUCCUCCUGUCUCACGAGGUGCUCAACCCUAUGUAUUGUUUAUUUGAAUAUGCCGGAAAGAACAAUUACUGCCUGCAGAUCAACCCCGCCUCCUCCAUCAACCCGGACCACCUCACCUACUUUCGCUUUAUAGGCAGAUUCAUCGCCAUGGCGCUGUACCAUGGAAAGUUCAUCGACACGGGCUUCACCCUCCCUUUCUACAAGCGGAUGCUCAAUAAGAGACCAACCCUGAAAGACCUGGAGUCCAUUGACCCUGAGUUCUACAACUCCAUUGUCUGGAUCAAAGAGAACAACCUGGAAGAAUGUGGCCUGGAGCUGUACUUCAUCCAGGACAUGGAGAUACUGGGCAAGGUGACGACCCACGAGCUGAAGGAGGGCGGCGAGAGCAUCCGGGUCACGGAGGAGAACAAGGAAGAGUACAUCAUGCUGCUGACUGACUGGCGUUUCACCCGAGGCGUGGAAGAGCAGACCAAAGCCUUCCUGGAUGGCUUCAACGAGGUGGCCCCGCUGGAGUGGCUGCGCUACUUUGACGAGAAAGAGCUGGAGCUGAUGCUGUGCGGCAUGCAGGAGAUAGACAUGAGCGACUGGCAGAAGAGCACCAUCUACCGGCACUACACCAAGAACAGCAAGCAGAUCCAGUGGUUCUGGCAGGUGGUGAAGGAGAUGGACAACGAGAAGAGGAUCCGGCUGCUGCAGUUUGUCACUGGUACCUGCCGCCUGCCCGUCGGGGGAUUUGCCGAACUCAUCGGUAGCAACGGACCACAGAAGUUUUGCAUUGACAAAGUUGGCAAGGAAACCUGGCUGCCCAGAAGCCACACCUGCUUCAACCGUCUGGAUCUUCCACCCUACAAGAGCUAUGAACAGCUGAGAGAGAAGCUGCUGUUUGCCAUUGAGGAGACCGAGGGCUUUGGACAGGAGUAACCGAGGCCGCCCCUCCCACGCCCCCCAGCGCACAUGUAGUCCUGAGUCCUCCCUGCCUGAGAGGCCACUGGCCCCGCAGCCCUUGGGAGGCCCCCGUGGAUGUGGCCCUGUGUGGGACCACACUGUCAUCUCGCUGCUGGCAAAAAAGCCUGAUCCCAGGAGGCCCUGCAGUUCCCCCGACCCGCGGAUGGCAGUCUGGAAUAAAGCCCCCUAGUUGCCUUUGGCCCCACCUUUGCAAAGUUCCAGAGGGCUGACCCUCUCUGCAAAACUCUCCCCUGUCCUCUAGACCCCACCCUGGGUGUAUGUGAGUGUGCAAGGGAAGGUGUUGCAUCCCCAGGGGCUGCCGCAGAGGCCGGAGACCUCCUGGACUAGUUCGGCGAGGAGACUGGCCACUGGGGGUGGCUGUUUGGGACUGAGAGCGCCAAGGGUCUUUGCCAGCAAAGGAGGUUCUGCCUGUAAUUGAGCCUCUCUGAUGAUGGAGAUGAAGUGAAGGUCUGAGGGAGCGGGCCCUGGGGCGAGGCCAUCUCUGCCUGCCUCCCUAGCAGGCGCCAGCGUUGGAGGCUGAGUCGCAGGACACAUGCCGGCCAGUUAAUUCAUUCUCAGCAAAUGAAGGUUUGUCUAAGCUGCCUGGGUAUCCACGGGACAAAAACAGCAAACUCCCUCAGGCUUUGUCCAUGUAUA